CGUAACAAGGUCUCCGUUGGUGAACCAGCGGAGGGAUCAUUACAGAGUUAUCCAACUCCCAAACCCAUGUGAACUUACCUUUGUUGCCUCGGCAGAAGCUACCUGUACCUACCUGGAACAGCCUACCUGGAGCGAUCCGGGCUGGCCUACCUGGAACGGUCUGGUGGUCGACUGCCGGUGGACCAUUCAACUCUUGUUAUUUUAUUGUAAUCUGAGCGUCUUAUUUUAAUAAGUCAAAACUUUCAACAACGGAUCUCUUGGUUCUGGCAUCGAUGAAGAACGCAGCGAAAUGCGAUAAGUAAUGUGAAUUGCAGAAUUCAGUGAAUCAUCGAAUCUUUGAACGCACAUUGCGCCCAUUAGUAUUCUAGUGGGCAUGCCUGUUCGAGCGUCAUUUCAACCCUUAAGCCUAGCUUAGUAUUGGGAGUCUACUGUAUUGUAGUUCCUCAAAUCCAACGGCGGAUCUGUGGUAUCCUCUGAGCGUAGUAAAUUUUUAUCUCGCUUUUGUCAGGUGCUGCAGCUCCCGGCCGCUAAACCCCCCAAAUUUUUAAUGGUUGACCUCGGAUCAGGUAGGAAUACCCGCUGAACUUAAGCAUAUCAAUAAGCGGAGGAAAAGAAACCAACAGGGAUUGCCCUAGUAACGGCGAGUGAAGCGGCAACAGCUCAAAUUUGAAAUCUGGCCCUUGGGUCCGAAUUGUAAUUUGUAGAGGAUGAUUUUGGUGCGGUAUCUUCCGAGUUCCUUGGAACAGGACGCCUUA
rnacentral:misc_RNA from 1 species